CUCCACACCUCUGUGUCCAAAUCUCAGACCAGGGCAAGGCUGCCUCCAGGACUCUUCUACAGACACACCAUUGUGAGGCCAGAUUUUGCCCAGCUGCUACAUGGGUACACAAAGAGCUGAGAAAGCUGCAGGGAGCCUCUUCCUUGUGUGUUCCUGGACAGCGGCCAACCUGCCAUCAAAGGUUGCUCAUUCCUUGGAAAAGCACAGGGCUCGCUCCAUCCCCCAGCAAUGCCACAACUGAAAGGUGUCCAAAGCGAGAUGGGAAGGGUAUUUCCUGUGGCCCUGUUUGUGGGACAGGCUGUACAAGAUGGGCUGGAGAGGGAAAUCUGCAUUGACAGAGAAGAUAAGCAAUGCCUGAAUGGGAGGGUGCAGAAAAGGAUCUCUCGGGGACAAGAUGUAAGGCAUGAUAGAGCUUUUAAUGGGUGAGCUGUCAUCACGUUUCUAGUAAACUUUAGCAGUGUGUUUCA